GCCCGCCUAGCUCAAUCGGAUAGAGCGUCAGACUUUUAAGCUGACUCAUAGGCUUGGGCAUCUGAAGGCUGCGAGUUCGACCCUCGCGGUGGGCU
rfam:Hebeloma cylindrosporum h7 unplaced genomic scaffold scaffold_19, whole genome shotgun sequence.